ACGGAAGGCAGCAGUGGGGAAUACUGCACAAUGGGCGAAAGCCUGAUGCAGCGACGCCGCGUGAGUGAAGAAGUAUCUCGGUAUGUAAAGCUCUAUCAGCAGGGAAGAAAAUGACGGUACCUGACUAAGAAGCCCCGGCUAACUACGUGCCAGCAGCCGCGGUAAUACGUAGGGGGCAAGCGUUAUCCGGAUUUACUGGGUGUAAAGGGAGCGUAGACGGUUUGGCAAGUCUGAAGUGAAAUGCGGGGGCUCAACUCCUGAACUGCUUUGGAAACUGUCGAACUAGAGUGCAGGAGAGGUAAGUGGAAUUCCUAGUGUAGCGGUGAAAUGCGUAGAUAUUAGGAGGAACACCAGUGGCGAAGGCGGCUUACUGGACUGUAACUGACGUUGAGGCUCGAAAGCGUGGGGAGCAAACAGGAUUAGAUACCCUGGUA
rnacentral:rRNA from 1 species